UGUUGAUCCCAUGUUGAUCCCGUGUUGAUCCCAUGUUGAUUUGCUGCUCCUCCCGUGUUCAUCCCAUGUUGAUCCCGUGUUGAUCCCAUGUCCAUCCUGUGUCCAUCCCAUGUUGAUCCCGUGUUGAUCCCGUGUUGCUUUGCUGCUCUACUCUUGUCCAUCCCAUGUUCAUCCCAUGUUGAUUCACUGCUGCGCUCAUCUCAAUCCCCUGUUAAUCCCAUGUUAAUCCCAUGUUAAUCCCAUGUUGGUUCACCCCUGUGCCUGCCUCCACCCCGUGUCAUCCCGUGUUCACCCCAUCUUCAUCCCAUCUCGAUCCCAUGUUCAUCCCAUGUCAAUCCCAUGUUCAUCCCGUGUCAAUCCCAUGUUCAUCCCAUGUUCAAUCCCAUGUUAAUCCCAUGCCGGUCCCAUGUUCAUCCAUGUAGAUCCCAUGUUCAUCCAGAUUGGGCCCAUGUUCAUCCCAUGUAGAUCCCAUGUUCAUCCAGAUUGGUCCCAUGUUCAUCCCAUGUAGAUCCCAUGUCCAUCCUGUGUUGGCUGCUUCGCGGUCACGUGACCUUCCCGUGUCCGUCCCGUGUUCACGGCCUCUUGGUCACGCGUGUCGUCUCAUUGGCGUGUCGGUUCCGUGUCAGCACUUAAUCACAUUUUUUUCACGUGUCCAUCCCGUGUUCAUCCCAUGUCCACCCCACAUUAAUUCCACCUCAAUCCCGUGCUAAUCCCAUAUUCAUCCCAUGUUAAUCCCAUGGUAAUCCCACGAUAAUCCCACGGUAAUCCCAUGU
rnacentral:lncRNA from 1 species